UAGGAUUCCCUUAGUAGCGGCGAGCGAACAGGGAAGAGCCCAGCACCGAAUCCCGCGGCCGAUACCGGACGCCGGGAAAUGUGGUGUUAGGGAGGGUCCAUUAUCCUGAGAUUGUGUGAUGCGUCCAAGUCCUUCUUGAACGGGGCCACAGCCCAUAGAGGGUGCCAGGCCCGUAGUGACCAUUACCAAUCGCGGGAGGAUCUCUCCUUAGAGUCGGGUUGCUUGAGAGUGCAGCCCUAAGUGGGUGGUAAACUCCAUCUAAGGCUAAAUAUGACCACGAGACCGAUAGCGAACAAGUACCGUGAGGGAAAGUUGAAAAGAACUUUGAAGAGAGAGUUCAAUAGUACGUGAAACCGUUCAGGGGUAAACCUGAGAAACCCGAAAGGUCGACAGGGGAGAUUCAGCGUGUCUCGAUUCACACAUUGAAUUGUUGUGUGACGGGUGGUGUUUCGGCACGUGCCUGCGCCUUUAAUUCAUGUUCAGUGUUUCGAACGCGUGCACUUCUCCUCCAGUAGGACGUCGCGAUCCGUUGGGUGUCGGUCUAAGAGUUGCGGUGGAGUCCAUUUGACAACGUUUCGGCGUAUCGAAUGAACCCGUAAUUUCCGGCCGACUUGCUUGACGGUAUAGAUAAUGGCGCGGGGCCGCUACAUAUAGUUAGCGUUCGACCCAUAGCAAGCACUUUUGUUGUGUCGGUGAUCGGACCUAGUGCCGGUCCUGGCCGCAAUUGGCUGUUAGCUGUGGUGUUCUCGAACAGACCUCGUUGAAACGCCAAUCUGCGACGCUAUAGCUUUGGGUACUUUCAGGACCCGUCUUGAAACACGGACCAAGGAGUCUAGCAUGUGCGCAAGUCAUUGGGACAUGACUAAACCUAAAGGCGCAAUGAAAGUAAAAGUUUACCUUGCGUAAACUUAGGGAGGACGAGUAAUCGUUUCGGCUAUUGCUCCGCACUCCCGGGGCGUCUCAUUCUCAUUGCGAGAAGAGGCGCACCAAGAGCGUACACGCUGGGACCCGAAAGAUGGUGAACUAUGCCUGGUCAGGACGAAGUCAGGGGAAACCCUGAUGGAGGUCCGUAGCGAUUCUGACGUGCAAAUCGAUCGUCGGAACUGGGUAUAGGGGCGAAAGACUAAUCGAACCAUCUAGUAGCUGGUUCCCUCCGAAGUUUCCCUCAGGAUAGCUGGCGCUCGUAUUUACGAGUUUCAUCCGGUAAAGCGAAUGAUUAGAGGCAUUGGGGUCGAAACGGCCUCAACCUAUUCUCAAACUUUAAAUGGGUGAGAUCUCCGGCUUGCUCGAACUAUUGAAGCCGCGAGAAUCGAAUCAGAGUGCCAAGUGGGCCAUUUUUG
rnacentral:rRNA from 1 species